rnacentral:rRNA from 1 species
GUGGGGAAUCUUCCGCAAUGGACGAAAGUCUGACGGAGCAACGCCGCGUGAGUGAAGAAGGUUUUCUGAUCGUAAAGCUCUUUCGUUAGGGACGAACGUGCUCUUUGUGAAUAAUGAGGAGUAAUGACGGUACCUAAAUAAGAAGCCACGGCUAACUACGUGCCAGCAGCCGCGGUAAUACGUAGGUGGCAAGCGUUGUCCGGAAUUAUUUGGCGUAAAGCGCGCGCAGGCGGGAUAUCAAGUCUGUCUUAAAAGUGCGAGGCUCAACCUCGUGAGGGGACAGAAACUGGUAUUCUUGAGUGUCGGAGAGGAAAGUGGAAUUCCAAGUGUAGCGGUGAAUUGCGUAGAGAUUUGGAAGAACACCAGUGGCGAAGGCGACUUUCUGGACGAUGUCUGACGCUGAGGCGCGAAAGCUAGGGGAGCGAACGGGAUUAGAUACCCGUGUAGUCC